GACAGAGGAUGCAAGCGUUAUCCGGAAUGAUUGGGCGUAAAGCGUCCGCAGGUGGCUAUGUAAGUCUGCUGUUAAAGAGUGAGGCUCAACCUCAUAAGAGCAGUGGAAACUACAUGGCUAGAGUGCGUUCGGGGCAGAGGGAAUUCCUGGUGUAGCGGUGAAAUGCGUAGAGAUCGGGCGGAACACCCGGUGGCGAAGGCGGCCAGCUGGGCCGUUCCUGACGCUGAGGCGCGAAGGCGUGGGGAGCGAACGGG
rnacentral:rRNA from 1 species